rnacentral:rRNA from 1 species
AGAGUUUGAUCCUGGCUUAGGACGAACGCUGGCGGCGUGCUUAAGACAUGCAAGUCGAGCGGAGCAUUGGAAAGCUGCUUUCGAAUGCUUAGCGGCGGACGGGUGAGUAACGCGUGAGCAACCUGCCCUAUACAUCGGGAUAACGUUUGGAAACGAACGCUAAUACCGGAUAUGACCACAACCCCGCAUGGGGAAAGGGUGAAAGGGUUUACUGGUAUAGGAUGGGCUCGCGUCUGAUUAGCUUGUUGGCGGGGUAACGGCCCACCAAGGCGACGAUCAGUAGCCGACCUGAGAGGGUGAUCGGCCACAUUGGAACUGAGAUACGGUCCAGACUCCUACGGGAGGCAGCAGUCGGGAAUAUUGGGCAAUGGAGGAAAAACCUCUGACCCAGCAACGCCGCGUGAAGGAUGAAGGUCCUCGGAUUGUAAACUUCUGUCCUUGGGGAAAAAUAUUUGAUGGUACCCAAGAAGAAAACCCCGGCAAACUACGUGCCAGCAGCGGC